GGGAAUGUGGCUCAGUGGUAGAGUGUUUGUCUAGCAUGCAUAAAGCCCUGGGUUCAAUUCCUCAGUACCA
rnacentral:tRNA from 1 species